rnacentral:misc_RNA from 1 species
GUGAAUCAUCGAAUCUUUGAACGCAAAUUGCGCCUUUUGCUGAUCGCAUGUGCGUUUGAGUUCGCCAUUUAACAAAUAAUGUGCAUUUCGUGUGCACACGUUGAUGAGCUUUCCAAAAUUAUGUAUUAUUAUUUUUGGGGUGGCAUAAUAAACAGCGCGAUGCUUUUUUGCAUUUCGAGGGUAGUAAAAUUUUUUCUAUCUUGGUUUUUGAUA